UGCAAGUCGAACGAGAAAGUUUUUCGGAAUGAGUAAAGUGGCGAAUUGGUGAGUAACGCGUGGGGAUCUGCCUUUUAGUAGAGAAUAUGUUUGAGAAAUCGAAUUUAAUACUGUAUGUCUCCAUUUAUGGAGAAAGAUGGCCUCUUGCUAUCGCUAAAAGAUGAACCUGCGUACUAUUAGCUAGUUGGUAGGGUAAAAGCCUACCAAGGCGAUGAUGGUUAACCGGCCUGAGAGGGUGACCGGUCACAUUGGGACUGAGAUAUGGCCCUGACUCCUACGGGAGGCAGCAGUGGGGAAUUUUGCGCAAUGGACGAAAGUCUGACGCAGCAAUGCCGCGUGAAGGAUGAAGGUCUUAGGAUUGUAAACUUCUGUUGAUCAAGAAGAAAAGAUAUAAAAUAAUACUUUAUAUUUAUGACGUUAUUGAUAAAGAAAGCUCCGGCUAACUUCGUGCCAGCAGCCGCGGUAAUACGAAGGGAGCGAGCGUUAUUCGGAAUUAUUGGGCGUAAAGGGCGCGUAGGCGGUGUCAUAAGUUUGUUGUUUAAUCUCCCGGCCUAACUGGGAAAGUGUGAUAAAUACUGUGAUGCUAGAAUGUAAUAGAGAGAGAUGGAAUUCUCGGAGUAGCGGUAAAAUGCGUAGAUCUCGAAAGGAACGCCAAUGGCGAAGGCAAUCUCUUGGGUUAUUAUUGACGCUGAUGCGCGAA
rnacentral:rRNA from 1 species